rnacentral:rRNA from 3 species
UGAGGAAUAUUGGUCAAUGGUCGGGAGACUGAACCAGCCAAGCCGCGUGAGGGAGGAAGGUACAGAGUAUCGUAAACCUCUUUUGUCAGGGAACAAAGGCGGGGACGUGUCCCCGGAUGAGUGUACCUGAAGAAAAAGCAUCGGCUAACUCCGUGCCAGCAGCCGCGGUAAUACGGAGGAUGCGAGCGUUAUCCGGAUUUAUUGGGUUUAAAGGGUGCGCAGGCGGUCUGUUAAGUCAGCGGUCAAAGCCCGGGGCUCAACCCCGGCCCGCCGUUGAAACUGGCAGUCUCGAGUUGGAGAGAAGUAUGCGGAAUGCGCGGUGUAGCGGUGAAAUGCAUAGAUAUCGCGCAGAACUCCGAUUGCGAAGGCAGCAUGCCGGCUCCACACUGACGCUGAGGCACGAAAGCGUGGGUAUCGAACAGG